rnacentral:rRNA from 1 species
AUGAACGCUAGCGGGAGGCCUGAUACAUGCAAGUCGAACGGCAGCAGGCAUAGCAAUAUGUGCUGGCGAGUGGCGCACGGGUGAGUAACGCGUACGCAAUCUACCCCCAACCGGGGCAUUGUCACGGGAAACUGUGAAUAAUUCCGUAUGAGGUUGAGUGGCCGCAUGGCUGCUUUACCAAAGUCUUCGGGCGGCAUAGGAUGAGCGUGCGUCUGAUUAGGUAGUUGGUGAGGUAACGGCUCACCAAGCCGACGAUCAGUAAGGGGCGUGAGAGCGUGGCCCCUCACACGGGUACUGAGACACGGACCCGACUCCUACGGGAGGCAGCAGUAAGGAAUGUUGGACAAUGGGCGCAAGCCUGAUCCAACCAUCCCGCGUGCUUGAUGAAGGCCCUCUGGGUUGUAAAGAGCUUUAGUCUGGGAAGAAACCGUUUUCUGCGGAAGACGCUGACGGUACCAGAAGAAUAAGCACCGGCUAACUCCGUG